UACGUAGGGUGCGAGCGUUGUCCGGAAUUAUUGGGCGUAAAGAGCUCGUAGGCGGUGUGUCGCGUCGGCCGUGAAAACCUGCAGCUUAACUGUGGGCGUGCGGUCGAUACGGGCAUCACUGGAGUUCGGCAGGGGAGACUGGAAUUCCUGGUGUAGCGGUGAAAUGCGCAGAUAUCAGGAGGAACACCGGUGGCGAAGGCGGUUCUCUGGGCAUUACCUGACGCUGAGGAGCGAAAGCGUGGGGAGCAAACAGG
rnacentral:rRNA from 1 species